rnacentral:rRNA from 1 species
GACGUAGGGCGCGAGCGUUGUCCGGAUUUAUUGGGCGUAAAGAGCUCGUAGGCGGCUUGUCGCGUCGUCCGUGAAAACCUGCGGCUCAACUGCAGGCUGGCGGUCGAUACGGGCAGGCUGGAGUUCGGUAGGGGAGACUGGAAUCCCUGGUGUAGCGGUGAAAUGCGCAGAUAUCAGGAGGAACACCAAUGGCGAAGGCAGCUCGCUGGAACGGUACUGACGCGUGGAGGCUCGAAAGCGUGGGGAGCAAA